UACGUAGGCAGCGAGCGUUGUUCGGAGUUACUGGGCGUAAAGGGUGUGUAGGCGGUUGUUUAAGUUUGGUGUGAAAUCUCCCGGCUCAACUGGGAGGGUGCGCCGAAUACUGAAUGACUUGGAGUGCGGGAGAGGAAAAGUGGAAUUCCUGGUGUAGCGGUGAAAAUGCGUAGAUAUCAGGAGGAACACCGGUGGUGUAGACGGCUUUCUGGACCGUAACUGACGCUGAGACACGAAAGCGUGGGUAGCAAACAGG
rnacentral:rRNA from 1 species